rnacentral:tRNA from 1 species
AAUAAGAUGCCUGAAAUGAAAGGAUUAUUUUGAUAGAAUAAAUUAUGUAUAUAAUACUCUUAUUA